rnacentral:rRNA from 1 species
AUUGAACGCUGGCGGAAUGCUUUACACAUGCAAGUCGAACGGCAGCACGGGUGCUUGCACCUGGUGGCGAGUGGCGAACGGGUGAGUAAUACAUCGGAACGUACCCAGUCGUGGGGAUAACGUAGCGAAAGUUACGCUAAUACCGCAUACGUCCUGAGGGAGAAAGCGGGGGACCGUAAGGCCUCGCGCGAUUGGAGCGGCCGAUGUCUGAUUAGCUAGUUGGUGAGGUAAAGGCUCACCAAGGCGACGAUCAGUAGCUGGUCUGAGAGGAUGAUCAGCCACACUGGAACUGAGACACGGGCCAGACUCCUAAGGGAGGCAGCAGUGGGGAAUUUUGGACAAUGGGCGAAAGCCUGAUCCAGCCAUUCCGCGUGAGUGAAGAAGGCCUUCGGGUUGUAAAGCUCUUUCGGCAGGAACGAAACGCUCUAGAUUAAUACUCUGGGGUAAUGACGGUACCUGAAGAAGAAGCACCGGCUAACUACGUGCCAGCCGCCACAGUAA